UCAUAUGCUGGACUCCUGGUUAAUUAUCCCGUUCGCCAUCAGAGCCGGUGGAGGCGCAGAGGAGGAGCGGAGAAGGAGCUGGAUGCGGCGUGGAUGAGUAGAUGGACGUCCUCUUCUCUCCCUCCUGAGAUGGAUGGCGGAGCGCCCUCCUCUCCUUCGGCCUGCACCUCCGCCGGUCUCCCAUGGGAGAAUCCUGGGAGCAUCUCCCUAGACCAUGUGGUCGAGGUCUCCCUCCAAAGCUGCGUGAGCAGCACCACCACCACCGCAUAGAGAGCCGCGCGAGGAGGUCGAGAAUGGCGCGCCGGAGACCGAGGCGAGGGGCCGCGGCGGCGGAGGCCGGCGCACUGAUGUAUCGCGCCGGCGGGCAGCAGUUUGGGAAGAGCCGAAGAGGCCUGAGGGUGACGGCGAUGGUGUUUCAUUCGCGGAGCAGAGAGAGGGCUAGGGUCGCGCGCCAUAGGGAGGAGCUUCGUGGUGGGGUCGCGUGGCCGAGCUCACGGCCAGAGCGGAUAAGGCGAGGCCAGGAGCACGCAGGGCCUGCCGGAGUCGAGCGAGAGGAACCACCUCAACACCAGAGGGAGGAGGUCAACAACCACCUGUCGACGAUUCGGUGCGCAGGCAGCAGUGGAUGCGGCAAGGACGGAAACAGCUUCGUUGACCACGGGACUGACGGUGAAUAAAGUGAUUUGCGUAGGUGAUGUGUUUUCCUAAUACAGUAGAAGAUGUCACACCUUGGCUGUGAGAAUUAUGCGCUGACUAUCCAAUUUUGCAUACAGCUCGGUGAGUCUCCUUCCUACUGUGUUCAGAUUAUUCGAUUUUUCCAUAGUUCACAUUGGUAAUUUGAGCUUAAAUUGGAUGCGGAUGUAUGUACUGCUGUUAUGACUACUGCUACUUCAGCACUUCAGUAGUUGUUGCUAUUCGAUACUGAGAUUGAUUUAGAAAUAACGUGACAGAGUUAAUUACAUACAUACUGACGUAAAAGCUCAUUGAUGUGCACAAGAUAUACAUGAACAUCUAUUUAUGGGUUCUGGGAAGUAUUUUAUAUAAUUUCCAGUCUUGAGUACAUGUAGAUUUCAUGUCCCGUGAUGUGGGGAAGCUUAUGUAAUUUAAGCCAUGACAUGUCUUUUCCUUUGGUUAUUUACCUUGGUGCCAAUCAAAUAUUUCUUCUAUGGAUGUGAUGCAUACUCUGAUUUUCAAGGCUUUUUAAUGACAAUUUGCAAAAAAAAAGAGGCUUUUUUAUGAGGAAGAGGAUGUCAUAUUAUGUUGUGUUGCAGGACAUGACUUAUAUAAAUCAUCUAAACAAAAAAAAACGUACAUUAGACUUGAUCGACACAUGUGUGUAGUAUUAUGUAUUCUUCCUAAUUUUGUGUUUGUUACUCAUGCUAAUAAUUCAUACAGCUAAGUAUUGGAGAAGGAAAAUCAAUCAUUAUUUUUUAAAGGUUUUCUUUCCUUCUACAUUGAAAGUUUUUCUUGGUGAGGUGGUGGAGGUAGGUUAUAUUAUCAUGAUAUCCAUGUAUGCUUCUUUCUUGGUAUAAAUGUUCUAUAUAACCAAGGAUAUGCAGAGCUAGCUUGAUGUUGCACAUGUAUAAGGGGCACAAUUAGUUAUAUGAUGUAAAAAAUAGUAGUAGGUUACCUCUUUAUUUCCAUGUCCUCAGAGAUUUUAAUUUUGAAUUGUGGAUGUUAUUUUAAAAAACAGAAUGUGUCAAUUCUCAUAGAGAUGUGUCAGUGAAAGAAAAUUCCCUGCUUUAUACCCCACACCUUACACUGGGAAAUUCUGAUUCAGAUCCUGGAUUGCAUAGACGUACAGUUAGUAUUAUUUGUUCUACCCAAAAAAAAAAUAGGCCAAUCAGGAAAGCCUGCUUAAUUAUCAAUGGGAAGCCAAUUUACCAUGUCAUGUCUUAUCGUACUCAUCUUUGAAAGGAAUAGAUAUUGAAUUUCACAAUCGUGUGUUACCCUUAAAAUCAUUUACUCUCCCUGUCUUACGUUGUUUCGUUUUCUGAUUGUUUUAUUCAAAAUAAACUAAACCAUUUCGAAUUGAACCUACAAUGCUGCUCUGUUUCAAGGGAUUUUUGGUUUUUGAUCAAUUCGUUUAUAUCUAACGUAUAGAGAAUGCUAAAAAGAAGCAUACCCCGAUGAAAACAUGUAUCAGUAGGAACUAUACAUGUUUCUGACCAUACCUUGGCAUAAGCUAAUCCUGGGAUAUACAGAACUAGCAUAGCACCUUUUUUAUUUAUUUCCACAACGUAUGGUUCUAAAUUUUCAGGCGGUGUACUCCCUGGUACCAUCUGAACUCGCCCAUAUGAAACUCCAUUGCGCACUGUGAGCCAUGGUAUCGAGGUUUUCAAUGGCUUACUGUGUGUUCUUUCUGCUAGCCUGGUCCUCCUGUCGGCGUCGCUGAUAUCACAGCUAUGGAGCACAAACGGACACAUGCUCACAUGCCAGAUUGCACAGAUAAAAGAAUAUGACAUUCAGUUUCAUUGUAAGAUGUUCACAUGCAUUGCCAAGUGGCAACUGAAAUGGGUGGUUGAUCCCGUUGCAGAGUCUGCUGGAGCCUGCUGCCGCACACACCAUGAAGAACCUACUCCUUGAGGAGGCGGGCGACGACAUAUCCGUGUUGUACACCUGUCCAGACCAGAUAUAUGGACGUGCUACUGCUGUUAAUGGCUAGGGUGAAAAGGUCACUGUCUCACCUUGGUACUCUUAUUCCCCAUGAAUUUGUCGCGCUCGGGUUGUACUUUGGGGUGAAGCCAUCAAGGGCCCAACCCACAGAAAAGAUGCAUGCCGAGGAGAGGUAUCACCACUAUGAGGUUAGGGAGCUGUUGGAGGCCUGUAUUGACUGUCGCUGGCUCCGCUCCGCCAUGCCAAUUCCAGUGAUUGGAUUGCCUGCCAAACACUCCAUAUAAUUUCCCAACCACAGAGCCUAAUGCAGAUCAUCUUGAGGAAUACAACAACGACAAGAAAAAACUCAGCUACGUGUACUACAUUUUAAGUCGAUUGCAUGUGCAACACCAUUCGUGUUCCGGCAUGGGGUCUGCUGAUGUUCAGCUGCUAGGAGUCACAUAGCUGCGUACUUUAUGCAUACAUCUUUUUCUGUGCCGCAAGGUAUUAACUGUCUUGCAUAUACAUGAUUCAUCAUACACAAUGCAGUUAUUGUCUUACCGAACUCAUGUUACUUUUUAGAAAAUAAUAUAUUUCUUCAGAACAUUAGUCCAAGUAGUUCUCUUAUAAGUAUAGGCAUCUUUUUAAUGGAGAUAGUUUUACUUCCUAAACAAAUAUACAUAGUGUAUUCUC